UGCAAGUAGGAUCCAUUGCUAGAAUGAAGUGUGCUCAUCGAAAAGAGAAGUUCAAAUAACCUAAACCCAGCUGGUUUCCAGAAGGAACUGGUACAGGGUUUCCACCUGGGAAAGGAACUAGCAAAGUGGCAAGACUGCUGUCAAGAUACAAGGCCAGUGAGGAGGGUGGGUAGUGGUGGACUGCAGGUCAGCUCCCAGACAUCCAGGCAGCCCCUCAUUUCCCGCCAUACACAGACACAGCUGGUUGAAAACACUGUCUUCCAGAGUGCUUGCCUCCUGGAGAAAUCAAACACUUCCUCGUGGGCACGUGUUUCUAACAGUCGGGCGAGUGUUCGCUGUGUUGCAACGCUAUAUAAUUUCAGUUAGUUAAUGACUUCAAGAGUCCACACGCCCUGGCCAGUGUGGCUUAUCUCUUAUUUAAACAUGGAAAGAAAGCGGCUGAAUGGUUGAGUUGGUGACGCUGUGUACAUACAGGCAGGUGCUCUGUCACGGUUUGCAGCACAACACCCAUGCGAAGAAAGAGAAAAGGGAACACAAAAUCAUUUUAAACAAACAGACUUUAGCUCACAGUGACCAACUGGCCUCGGUUCAACUUAAUACCACAGCCGGCAGUUGCAGAAAUUACCCUAGAAUAAGACACCCUCCCUGAUCGAAGACUCAGACCAUGCUGCCUUGGACGUCCGUGGUGGAACAGGUCUGGGCAAGAUCACAAGGAAGCUCUCAGGGUGUGGGCUUGCUACAGCUGCGUGUCCAGCACACCUGCACUCCAGGGCGGCAGGACCCAGCUGGAAAGAAAGGCUCCAGCACCAUGUCUCAGCUUCCUUCUCGGGAUGCCACGCCUGCUACUUGCUGCCGUGCUUGCCACCAUGGUGGACUCGCAACUCUCUGGAACCAGGAGCCAAAAUGAAUUCUUCGGAUCAGCUCCUCUGUUAGAGUCAUCCUUUGGGCUCCAGGACUGCCUGCAGGACAACUGAGAGCAAUUGAAGUUCGCACUGCAAGCAUUAAGUGAGACUUCAUGCAGAUGGGAUCCUUGGCCCUUGUUCACCUCAGCUCCGGACACACGUGCAUCCAGGUAUACAUUUUCCUUGCAGGAGGUUGGAGAGGUUGUCUAAUUAAAGCUAACCAAAGUGGGCAGUGAGAUGGCUCAGAGGGCAGAUGUACUUGCUGCACAUGCCUGGUAACCUGUAUUAAAUCUCCAGAACCCACAUCAGGGUGGAAGGAGAGAACAGACCCAUAGGAAGUUGUCUUCAUAUUUCCUGUGUGCUCUGGUGUGUGGGCUUACACGGGCACACCUGGCAUACACAUGCACAUGUUAAUAAGUAAAUAUUUUAUAGGAUAUUUUAAAAACUGAAGAAGCCAUGAAAAGAGAAAAAAAGUCUGUUGUUUGAAUUUAGUACAUUGACCCUCCCCAAAUCAUCCAAAAACUCAACCAGUGAUCCUUCCUUCUCCACUUCACCCAGACCUUCUAAUCAAAGACUUUCUGGGGAAAGCCUACAGCAUGAAAGAAAAAGAGAAAAAAAGAAGGAGUGGGCUGGCUCACUGGAUAAAGGUGCUUGCAUGCAAAUACUACAACCUGGGUUCAAUACCCAGAACCCACAUGAGCGAGGGAAGAGGUAACUGACUCUACUCUGCCCUUCACACACGUGCUACAGCAGAUAAACACAAGCACACACUUUUAAAAUUAAAAACUACUAAGGAAAGAAGAAACAGAAAACUGAAAUACUGUGGGAGCUGAUGGAAGCCACAAGUUUAAAUGAAGCUUCAGGCAUCAGUUACUUGUCUCGUUACUGCAACAACACACUCGCCUAAAGAAACUUAAGGAAGGGUUGCAUGGGGUUCACUGUUGGCGGGUACCAUCCGUCCUGGUGGGGAAGCUUCAGGAGGUUGGUCACAUUUAUCCGCAUCCAGGAAGCAGAGCCGGGUGAAGGCACACACUCAACUGGCUUUUCUCCUUUUUAUGAAGUCCAGAACCCCAAGUCUAUGGGAUGACAAUGCCCAGACUUAGGUUGUUUUCCCAACUCAGUUAAAUAUAGUUGAAUCUUCACAGAUAUGCUAAGAAGCUUGUUUCUAUGGUGAUUCUAGAUGCCAUCAAGAUGGCAAUUAAAUUUAACCAUCACUUGUCCCUUCCCUCAACUUGUUUUUUAAAUGCUGUUCUUCUUGGGUAAGGGACGGGGAAAUGGUCUCUUGCUCUGCAAGAUAAAUGUGCUAAGUAAAUGAGGAGGCCAUGAAGAAUACUGGGGUCUCACGAAUGGAUGACCCACAAAUUGAGAAAAAUUUCAACAUUAAAAAAAAGAAUGGUGGGGGGCUAGAGAGAUGGCUCAGUGGGUAAGAGCACUUGCUGCUUUUCCAGGGCCCAAGUUCAGAUCUAGCACCCACAUCAGGCAGCUCGUUAUCUCUGUAGCAGCAGCUUGGUGGGAUUCAGUGCCCUCUUCCAGGCUCCACAGGCUCCUGUGCUCAUGUAUAGCAAUACACCCACAUGCACAUGAAUAAAUAAUAAAACAAACUCGUUUUAAACCAA